ensembl:lncRNA
GCCUUUCCGAGGUACCGAAGCACCUGUUUGACCACAUGCUGAAGAUCCCCCACCCCGCGUGAAGGAGUUGCGGCCGUCGCGGCAGAGCAGCACGUUCACGGCUGGGCCGGAGGAGUCGCUGGUUUUGAGGUCUCAGCCUGGGUCUGCAGGAGCUGCCUUCCGUAUAAAGCCCCAGCGCGGAAAUAUGCAGAGGAAAGCCUUUUCCGGCCGCUCCGCAAGAGGGGGAAUUGGGGAAGGGAUUUCCCCGCGGAGAAGCGGCAGCGUGCUCCCGGUACGCACCGAGCUGACGCUUCCCUUUUCUCGCUUUUCUUGCGCUGCCUCCUGCUGCGGCAGCCGCCGGCGCCGUGUCCUGAGGCCAGCCGGCACUGAGUUUCUGCCCCACGGCUAACCAGGAGCCUUUUCUCGCCUUUUGAUGCUUUUGGCUGUAUUUGGAUGGCACCAUCGUGCUGCAGGGCAAUGUGGAAUCCGACAUGCCCACUUGGGACUGCUGACUUGGGAAAAAGAUCCAAAGGUGUUUUGGGCCCAAGCCCUCAGCUGUAGACCAGAGCUGCUCACAGGUGGCACUCAAGUGUGGACCUGCCACAUCGCUCCCCAAACCAGAGUCUCCUCCUUUGGGUUUUGGGGGGCCCCCGCUCCCCAGCCUCGUGGGGGAGCCCCUCCCUGGCAGUGGGGCCUCCCCCCAGGAAACGCCGAUGACCAGCCACCCUCCAGCUCGCCCUCGCCAGCCCUCCUGACCCACCGCUGGCAGGAGGCACCGCCAAUUCCAUUUGUUAAACAGUUUUUUUUUUUUUUAAGUGUAAAUGAUAAUAAUAAAAUUCCACGAGUCUUUCUUUUUUUUUCUCUUUUCUCUCCCCUCAGGAUAAAUUUUAUGCGGCUGGCAGUUAAAAUAAGCGAUUACCCCAUAAAUACCAUCUUAAUAGCCUCGUCAACGCUACGGCCUCCGCUGUCCUGAGAUUUUUAUCUCAGGAAAGGGGGAGGGAGGGAGAGAGAAAACCACAACCCUUUAGAGCGCUGCGGCGGCGGCUGCCGCCGCUCGUUACUCGCUGCGUAGCUGGGGGGGCGGAGGGCUCCCCCCUUCCCCCGGGGGCAGCCGCGGGGCCGCCCCCUCCCCCGGCGUGGCCGUUGGCGU